AUUGAACGCUGGCGGCAGGCCUAACACAUGCAAGUCGAGCGGAUGAUGGGAGCUUGCUCCCGGAUUCAGCGGCGGACGGGUGAGUAAUGCCUAGGAAUCUGCCUGGUAGUGGGGGACAACGUUUCGAAAGGAACGCUAAUACCGCAUACGUCCUACGGGAGAAAGCAGGGGACCUUCGGGCCUUGCGCUAUCAGAUGAGCCUAGGUCGGAUUAGCUAGUUGGUGGGGUAAAGGCCUACCAAGGCGACGAUCCGUAACUGGUCUGAGAGGAUGAUCAGUCACACUGGAACUGAGACACGGUCCAGACUCCUACGGGAGGCAGCAGUGGGGAAUAUUGGACAAUGGGCGAAAGCCUGAUCCAGCCAUGCCGCGUGUGUGAAGAAGGUCUUCGGAUUGUAAAGCACUUUAAGUUGGGAGGAAGGGUUGUAGAUUAAUACUCUGCAAUUUUGACGUUACCGACAGAAUAAGCACCGGCUAACUCUGUGCCAGCCGCCGCAGUAAAAC
rnacentral:rRNA from 1 species